rnacentral:lncRNA from 1 species
GACAAAACCGAUGCAUUCAAUUAAGUAAUGUUCCACUGCCUAAUGUUCCGAUUUGGCAAUCGGGACGUGAGCGAAAAACAAAGGGAAAAGUCAGAUUUCAGGGUUGCUUUAUUAUCGGUGCAUUCGUAAGCGCCGUUGAACACCAGCUGCCGCUUAUAGGACGUGUUCGAAUACCUCCCCUUCUGCAGCCACGCAGUACUGAGCCCGCUUUAUCACAUCUUCAAUGGCUUUUUUGAUGACCGAGGGUGGGAUUCUGCUGCAGACAUCCGUUAUCCUUGCCUUGAGCUCAUCUGACGUCUUCGUCUCGGUCACGUAAACACGAUAUUUUACGUAACCCCACAGAAAAAAAUCGAGUGGAGAGAGAUCAGGUGACCUAGCCGGCGAAUGGACAGGCCCGUGCCUUCCAAUCCACUGUGUGUGAAAAGUCGCAUUCAGCCAGUUUCGUGCUCGGCUGCUGCUGUGUGCUGGCGCCCCAUAUUGCUGAUACGACAGAAGUGGAAGACGUGACAGCGGGACUUCGCUGCAAAACCCAUCCACCGUCCCUUCAAGGAUUUCGUCCACGUAACGCUGUCCAGUCAGUGUGUCACAGA